UCUUCUCGGAUGUCAUCUCUCCUCAGGGCUUUACGUACAUAGCUCCAUCUGUGCUCGAAAACAUCAACGAGAAGUUCACUUUUGAGCCAAAAUCCCGUUCACCUCGCAAGCUUCUGGGAAGCCCAAGAACACCAGUGAGCCCUGUGAAGGCUGAAGGGUUAGACGGUUGGACUCGGGGUCCACUCUUCCCAGAAUUGCCCACAACCACCUCCUCUCUCCUGCCGCCCACUGAUACGCCCAUGGAGGUGUCUAAUGUGGAGCAGCUGGACAUUAGCAGCAACAUGGAGGUGUCAGCCCCUCUCCCCAUCAAAAAACCAUCCAACACAGGGUCAUUUGUGAAACCGACUCACCCAGCGGGCGGCAGGAGACCCAAGCAUUUAAGGAUGAAUCAUUGAUGAACGUCUUAAGUUUUGUAUUUUAGGAAUUUAUCAAAUUACCCAAAAGGCCUUUCUGCACCCAGUUUCUGUCUCUUAAACACUUGCCGCACCAGUGUACUUCAUGCAAGCAUGCAGAGCUGUAACCUCUCUCUGCUUGCAUUAUGGUGAGGGGGGCUGCUGCUUGCUAUGAAAGAGCACCUUGCACUCUGAGCAUGAAUUUCACAGUUUAUCUUUUAUAUGCCAUGCUCAUGCAAAACAUAAGGGAGAAUACAUAGUAUCUUCUGUUGUAUAUUUGAAGUGUGAUCUGAGACACUGAGUUUGAGCCACUUGUUAUUGUGUUUUGCUUGAUUAUGUUCUAACUAAAAGUAACAGUAUUUAAAUGGAUAGUUCACCCAAAAAAUAUAAAUUUUGCCAUGUACUCACCUUUAUGCCAUUCCAAACCUGUAUAACUUGCCUUCUUUCUUCUGUGGAACACAAAAGAAGAUUUUCUCUGCGUUUUUUUGUUUUAGACCGAUUGACUUUCAUUAUGUGGACAAACACAGUUGUAUCGUGCUUCAAAAUGUCUUCUGUUGUGUUUCACAGAAGAACAUAAAGUCAUACAGGUUUGGAAAGACAUGAGGGUAAAUGAUGACAUAAUAUUAAUUGUUGGGUGAAUUGUCUUUUUAAAAUGGCAAGAAGAUCCAGGUCUACAUUCUUGAGGAAUCUGUCUGAUUUGCUUUGUUUUUGAUUCUUAAUUCAUCAAUAGUUGUUUGGACCCCUAGAAUCACAGAUGUAGGGUACUUGGAGCUCUAUAGUCGUGUUAGUCUAACCUACCAAUGAUAAACUAUGAAGUAAAAAAAUUUUUUUUCUUUGCUGCAGGUUCAUGAGACAGUGUUAGAUGACCUCAAGGCAUUAUUCUCUUAUUUUGAUCUGCUCUUGAUUACAUUUAAAAUUCAUACAUUCAAGUAUGAAUCUACCUGCACUCUGGGCAUCAAAUCACUGUUUUUCUUUUCAACAGUAAAAAGCUAUUUAACAACCAAUUUUCUGACCAAAGAAUUUAAAAAAUAAUAUAUCACUAUAUAAUACUGGAUAAAUCCUCAUAAUCCAGAGUACAGUUACUUCUUUCUAAGCCACAUCCACAAACACAAAUUCCAGUAAUACUACUGACUUUAAACAGAAUGCUUAUUUAAUUUUUAAUCCUAAUAUUGAAGACACCAAGACGAGUUUUGAAAUAGUUUCCUUAACACUACCCCUAUCAGUAAUUGAUUUUUUCCCCCCCUGAAUAUGUGUUUUGACCUAUUUAUUUUUCAGGUGCCGUAUAGAUUUGUAAACUAUGCAAAUUAUUUAUUCUUUAUAGUCAAAAAUGCUUUUCAGGGUUUAGCCGGAUUAGUAACAUGAACACAUGCCUUCUUCUUUCUACAAAGGUGUUGGAGUCAAAACAAUUUUAUUAUUCUCGGGGACAUUAAAAAUGUGAUUUUAAAUAUGUUUUCAGGAUGUGCACUGUACACUAGAAAACCACUGUAUUAUUUAUUGUUUUAUUGAAUUUUGAUUAAAUAAGCUUGGAUAUAUGUGGUUAAGGGGAAAGAAAAUCUCUAUUCUAGAUCAAUCCAGAAUGAUGGAAGCAUAAUAAAGUAGUAAAUCUUUCCCAAAAAAAAAAAACGUAUUUAUUUAAUUGCUGUACAUAGACAUGAUUCUUCAUGAAUGUUGGUGUUUUUUCCUUGUAUUAUAGUUCUUACAGAUACAGUAUGUAUUGUAUGAUGAAGUGACUCCUUGAACUGGUGGACACUGAAUCUGCAUCUUGUUAAGAUUGUGCUGUACGUAAGCCAUCAUGGGUGGUUCUUUGUAUCGUGUUUCACAGGCAUUCCUGUGCUCAUAGAAGUGUUAUUGUUAUCAAUGAACAUCUGCGUGUGAGACUG